rnacentral:rRNA from 1 species
AUUGAACGCUGGCGGCAGGCCUAACACAUGCAAGUCGAACGAGUGGCGGACGGGUGAGUAAUGUCUGGGAAACUGCCUGAUGGAGGGGGAAAACUUCUGGAAACGGUAGCUAAUCCCGCAUACCAUCGGAUGUGCCCAGAUGGGAUUAGCGAGUAGGUGGGGUAAAGGCUCACCUAGGCGACGAUCCCUAGCUGGUCUGAGAGGAUGAACAGCCACACUGGAACUGAGACACGGUCCAGACUCCUACGGGAGGCAGCAGUGGGGAAUAUUGCACAAUGGGCGCAAGCCUGAUGCAGCCAUGCCGCGUGUAUGAAGAAGGCCUUCGGGUUGUAAAGUACUUUCAGUGGGGAGGCGUUACCGACAGAAGAAGCACCGGCUAACUCCGUGCCAGCAGCCGCGGUAAUUC